rnacentral:lncRNA from 1 species
UCCUAAAAGAAAUGGAGGUGGGGAGGAAGAGGAAAGGAGAACCUUUGGUGUCUCUGCAGACAGGCAGGUGGAAGAGAAAAGCUGAAAAUAAUUAAGCCUUUUUCGGAGGAAUCCUUAGGAGAGAGCAAAAAUGCAGUUGAAAGCCAAUAAAUCAUUAGAUCCAAUCAGACAAUCAAGUCUUCUUCUUUAAAAAAAAAUAGAUAUAGAGCAGGGUUCAGAGUAGCUUUCCCGGUAGCAAAGAGAGAGAAUGAUCUUCUCCGGAAAGAUAUGUUUGUUUAAAAUCCACUCGUCUGCUUUUCUUUCCUUCUCUCUCUUCUCCCCCCCCUUUUUUUUUUUUUUUUUUUUAAUUCUGCUUCUGAAUCUCUCUCUGUGAAACUAGAUCCAGUCUUUGUAGCCAGGGGCUGCAUUAAGGAUUACAUCAGGCUUUUAUAAGCUUUCCAGAUCACACAUUUUAGUGAGAGAGAGAGAGAGAGAGAGAGAGGGAGGGAUAGGAGGGAGGGAUAAAAUGCACACACAUACACACGCACACGCAGGGAUCGGGGCUUUGUAAAACAGGCAGCUAUAGGCAAGGACCCUAACUGCUACACUAUUGCACCGGGCAUGCUCCGCUAGCCUAUAGGAGGAGAGGAGGGAUGGAUGGAUGGAUGGAUGGAUGGAUGGAGCAGAGGAGCCAGCGAGAGCCGGAGCGCGUUGGCGGCCAGGCAGCGCAGCCUCCCCGGGACAGCUUAGCCCUAAACGGAGAGCCAGGAGGGAGACCUGGGGAUCAGAUCACAACUGAAACAGGACACAUGAGGAGCACAGGCAUGCAAUUGCCUGUAGUAACCAGCGGCCAAAUGCGGUGACCCAGCUGGUCUCUUCGGUUCUGCAAACCUGUGAAGUGAAUAAGAGCCAAGAGCUUCGUCACAAUGUACAGGAAUCUGUGAAACUCACAGCUGCAGAGUGCCUCUGUAGGCACCAAAGUCCAUUAGCAAAUGCUCUCAGCACAGUGGAUCUCUUAAAAAAUGAAUCUGGGAACACGUAUACCAUUCUUUCCCCUUCCCCCCUCAUCCCCUAACAACAUAACUCAGAUAUGUAAUCCCUGGGGGGAACGGUCUGUCUCAUACCAGUCUUCCUCAAAGCAACCAGUCUGGACCAGGCUGCAGGUCACCUUCCCGCUUGGCCCAUUCCCGUGGUGCAGAAGGGCAGCCCUCAAGUCCCAAGCACAAAG